AUGUACGGAUACCUCAACUACCUGUCCCUUGAGUAUGACUCGUCUCGGACACCAAUCCUGCUUGAAUAUGAGCUUCUUCACGGCAAUUUCAAAGUUACAUGUACCAUAGGUAUUUUCAAGGUCCAUGCUUCAAAUAUAAAUAAGAUUUUGUCCUUCUAUCUGAAACUUGAUCUUCUGCUUAUGUUUGCAUUUGCUAUCGAUGAUGUGAAUUUGAGCAAAUACCCCACAACGUUUUCACUGAGUUUGGAUAGCAUAUACAAGCUCCAGAAAAAGGUACUAGAAUGCAUUGAAAAGCUCCCACAAGCAGGAAUUAAGUUCUGUGUGCUGACUGUGACAAAAUGGAUAGCUAUCAAUAUUGGAAGAUGCAGCUUGCGGAUCCCACGGCAGGACUCGGAUGAUGACGAUGAACCUGACUACCUAUUGCAAUCUGAACACCUAAAGAAGUUCUUGUUCUACGGUGACAACGUCAGGCGCAAGGCGGUGGUGGAGACAUGCGCGGACGAGCACGUGCAGAAGCGAAUGGUGCUCCACGGCUGCUGCUGUGUCAUCGGGUAA
rnacentral:rRNA from 1 species